UCUGUUUAUCUUUCUUCUUCGUUUGAAACUCUUGGCCUCUUCUCAUUAUCGCGCAACCACGGACGGAUCAGAAAGUUUCUUAUUUCUCUCGAUCUCCAUCCAAACCAUGAGCACCGGUCGAUCAACGGCUCACACAUGCGUCUUCUGGGACGUCCAGGAUUUCCCGGUCCCUAAUGGUCGCGAUCCUGAUUCUAUUUAUGAGAAUAUAAAAUCAGCUCUUGCGAAUAAGGGGUUUGGUGGUGGUAUUGUGCAUAUCAGGGCUUAUGGUGAGAAAAACAAGAUUUGGGAUGAAUUUUUAUUAGACGGAAUCAUGGAUGUACCCGAAGGUAGAUAGAGACCUCUCCGUGUUCUUUUUGUUUUUUUUUUCUAUGGUUCCAGGAGAUAAAGUUGCCAGAGUAAGUAGGAUGAUAAAGGACGUUCUUCUCUGGGCACUGGACAAUCGUGUACACCCAUCUGUACAACGAAACGUGAUGGUUAUCUCAAAAAACAUUGCACAAGAUUUGGAGUUCCUCUCCGUUCUUCAAGGUUUGCAAUCUAGAGAUUACAAAAUUCUCUUGGCUGAUGUCGCAUCAGUAAAGCAACCUGAGUUUGUAAGCGCGGAAUGGCUUUGGAGGAGCCUCUUAGAUGGAGGAGGAGAUCCUAUCGCCACUAGUGACGAAAUAUCACCAUCUGUUAACGACGAUGAUGAUAACCUGAAGCGUAAGGACCACACUACUGCAAAAGCCACUGAUAAGCGAAGCUCAAAACAUAAGCGGAGGAAAUUUUCAAACUAGCUUCAAUCAAUCUCUCUUUAUGGAUGAUCCGUUUCUUUUUUUUUAUCUCUAUUAUGAAGUCUUAUGGUUUUGUGUGUAUUAAAAACGUUAGACAUUU